CCAAACUAUUGAGUGGUAUUUUUAAUACCCUCGAUAUACACCUCUUGUGGUAUUGGUAGAUUGUUAUUAAAGAGUACGCCGCAAUUCUUUGGUGAAAACUGAGUUUUUGCGGAAAGUAGGGAGUGGCUCUAUCCUGAUAGGGCCCGCUUCUUUCUUGAACGUAUUUCUUUUUUAUUAUAAACGCAUUUAGUCCUGGUUAUUUCGUUUGGUUGUUGGAUGAAUUUAUAUUCAUCUAACUGAUAACUAUAAUUAUCAAAA
rnacentral:misc_RNA from 1 species